rnacentral:rRNA from 1 species
AGUUUAGUCAUGGCUCAGGACGAACGCUGGCGGCGUGCUUAACACAUGCAAGUCGAACGAACUCGAGACUUCGGUCUCAAUGAGUGAGUGGCGAACGGGUGAGUAACACGUGAGAAACCUGCCCCGGAGACUGGGAUAACUCGAGGAAACUCGGGCUAAUACCGGAUAUCUUCCGACCACCGCAUGGUGGACGGAAGAAAUGGUCCGCCGCUCUGGGAGGGUCUCGCGGCCUAUCAGCUUGUUGGUGAGGUAAUGGCUCACCAAGGCAUCGACGGGUAGCUGGUCCGAGAGGACGAUCAGCCACACUGGGACUGAGACACGGCCCAGACUCCUACGGGAGGCAGCAGUGGGGAAUCUUGCGCAAUGGGCGAAAGCCUGACGCAGCAACGCCGCGUGAGGGAAGACGGCUCUCGGGUUGUAAACCUCUUUCAGCAGGGACGAAAUUGACGGUACCUGCAGAAGAAGCGCCGGCCAACUACGUGCCAGCAGCCGCGGUAACACGUAGGGCGCAAGCGUUGUCCGGAUUUAUUGGGCGU